rnacentral:rRNA from 1 species
UACGUAGGCAGCGAGCGUUGUUCGGAAUUACUGGGCGUAAAGAGUGUGUAGGCCGGUGCUCUAAGUUCGGUGUGAAAUCUCCUGGCUCAACUGGGAGGGUGCGCCGGAAACUGGAGUGCUUGAGCGUGGGAGAGGAAAGCGGAAUUCCUGGUGUAGCGGUGAAAUGCGUAGAUAUCAGGAGGAACACCUGUGGUGUAGACGGCUUCUGGACCAUAGCUGACGCUGAGACACGAAAGCGUGGGUAGCAAACAGG